GACACAUCUUCAAGCCAUGCACACCAACCCAAACACACAGUGCAUCAUUUCCAAUUUUGCAUCUCCGGUCAUUUCCUUCUGUUGAAUCAUCUCUGCAGAUCCCCAGGUCCCCAACGAACUAAUUGUUGGAGCGUUGGUUGGUGGAGUUGUUCUCUCUGCUUUUCUUCAGGUGGCUUUUGACAGGCUGGCUCUUGCAAUGUUCUGGACUUCUUCGAGAAACCGAAAUUGAAACAGACGUUGCUGAAUAAGUUAAAAAUCGUGCUGUUCUCCAUCGACGCUGUAGUUGAUGAUACAGAGCAAAAGCAGAUUUCUAGUCCAAAGGUAAAGGCCUGGAUUGAUAUGGACAAAGAUGCCGUGUUUGAUGCUGAAGAUGUCUUGGAUGAGAUUGACCAUGAAGUGUUCUAGCGCCUGGUGGAAGCUGAAAUUGAGAGUAAAACCAGUGCUAUCGGCAAGACGACGUGUGGAAUGAAAAUUAUAUGCUAUGGGAGGCCUUGCAAUCACCUUUCAAUCAUGGGGCUCCAGGAAGUAAAAUUCUUUUAACCACCCGUAGCAGACAGGUUGUUUCAACCAUGCGUUCUGCUAAAACACUUACAUUGAAGCCCUUACCAAGAGGAGAUAGCUGGUCGUUAUUCAGUAGAACAUUUUAUACCAUCUGCUUAUCAAAACAAAGAUGCAAGAGAAGUAGGAGAACAAUUGUUUCAAGAUCUAUUGUUGAGGUCACUUUUUGAACGGCUCUCAUUCCGUUACUCAACAUAAGUGACUUUUCUGAUACACCCCUCAUAUUGUUCAAAUGGAAAGGAAGGCUCUUUAUUGUCCACUGAACAUAAGAGUCUCCGCUGAUGUAAACCUCAUUUUGGAAACAUUGAGAUACAACACUGUUUGUCUUUUGUCAUUGUCCAUUGAAUUCAUGGGACUUCAAUGCUGUCCAAGGAAGGUUUACUCUUUUCUCUUCCAUACUUUACAAAAUGGGCAAUAGUUCUUGUCUAGAGGGAAAUAAUGUUUAUAUUAUAGGUUCCCUUUUCCUUGUUUGGGGAAAAUUUCCAUCUUAAAACUUAAGGUUUACUCUUUUCUUAUUCAUAACUCCAAUUUCCAAAGAAGAGAAUGGUCUUGAUGAAGCCUUCCUUUUCCUUCUCUUCUCCUCCAUUAUUCCCUUUCCAAACAUACCCUGUAAGAGAUUCACCAUUUGUCUGACACAAUAUUAAAUACUUACUCUUAUUUUACUUCUUGUUUUAUAUAUAAUUGAAAUCGGGGGAAGUAUGCUGGUGCACCUCAAUAGACUUACACGUGAAAGGAAUAAGAGGAAAUCACUCAACUUAGAGGCAAAUAUUGCUACAUUAAAACAGCCAGAGAAGGGGCAAAAUAGAGUCGAGUCAGACCUAAUGUACUCAAGAGGAAACGAAAGUUCUGCUUCAAGUGAGAAAGAUGCAAAUGGUAGAAGGCAAUGUCAAGCACCAUUAAUGCUCUGAAAUUAUGGAGCUUUCCAACUGCUCAAAAUUCAUUAACAAAUACAACUCCCACGAAGCAUUGAUUACCAAGAAGACUAUGUGCUUUUAAAGCUGCUCUGAUAUAUCUUCACAUUCUCUGCGUUUCUAUUAGCGUUGUAUCAUAGACUCCUUUGGAAGUUGAAUCUUUGAAGAGAUGUUGUGAGCAUCAUUUCCAUAGGUUUGCCUUUACAUAACGCUGUAAAGGCCUUGGUGCAUGGUUUGCAAAAGUUUUGAUAAGCUUUACGAGAGUUAGGGGAAAUAGAGACUCGAUUGCCUUCUUGAUUGUACUGUGAUCAUUUACUAUGCAUAAAAUAAAAAUGCUCCCAUUUUGCAUGA